GCCGGGUGUGGUGGCACACACCUAUAAUCCCAGCUACUCGGGAGGCUGAGACAGGAGAAUUGCUUGAACCCGGGAGGCGGAGGUUGCAGUGAGCCGAGAUCACACCACUGCCCUCCAGCCUGGGUGACAGAGGAGAGACUCCGUCUCAAAAAAAAGAAAAAAAAAUAGAUAAAAUUAAGUUGGGUUUUCUUUUUUGAAAUGGAGUCUCACUCUGUCGCCCAGGCUGGAAUGCAGUGGUGUGAUCUUGGCUCACUGCAACCUCCGCCUCCUGGGUUCAAGCAAUUCUGUGUCAG
ensembl:misc_RNA Metazoa_SRP Metazoan signal recognition particle RNA